rnacentral:rRNA from 1 species
CGUACCGACGCCAGAUCUUUCAAGUGACUGCUCUAUCAGCUUGUUGCUAGGUUAUGCUCCUAGCAAGGCUUCAACGGGUAACGGGGUAUCAGGGUCCGAUACCGGAGAGGGAGCCUGAGAAACGGCUACCACAUCCAAGGAAGGCAGCAGGCGCGCAAAUUACCCACUCCCMGCACGGGGAGGUAGUGAWGAAAAAUAACGAUGCGAGGGCWUAUUGCUUCUCGUAAUCGGAAUGGGUACACUUUAAAUCCUUUAACGAGGAUCUAUUGGAGGGCAAGUCUGGUGCCAGCAGCCGCGGUAAUUCCAGCUCCAAUAGCGUAUAUUAAAGUUGCUGCGGUUAAAAAGCUCGKAGUUGGAUCUGGGCAGCUGGAUGUGCGGUGCGCUUUACAGCGU